rnacentral:rRNA from 1 species
AUGAACGCUAGCUACAGGCUUAACACAUGCAAGUCGAGGGGCAUCAGGAAGAAAGCUUGCUUUCUUUGCUGGCGACCGGCGCACGGGUGAGUAACACGUAUCCAACCUGCCCUUUACUCGGGGAUAGCCUUUCGAAAGAAAGAUUAAUACCCGAUGGCAUAAUGAUUCCGCAUGGUUUCAUUAUUAAAGGAUUCCGGUAAAGGAUGGGGAUGCGUUCCAUUAGGUUGUUGGUGAGGUAACGGCUCACCAAGCCUUCGAUGGAUAGGGGUUCUGAGAGGAAGGUCCCCCACAUUGGAACUGAGACACGGUCCAAACUCCUACGGGAGGCAGCAGUGAGGAAUAUUGGUCAAUGGGCGCUAGCCUGAACCAGCCAAGUAGCGUGAAGGAUGAAGGCUCUAUGGGUCGUAAACUUCUUUUAUAUAAGAAUAAAGUGCAGUAUGUAUACUGUUUUGUAUGUAUUAUAUGAAUAAGGAUCGGCUAACUCCGUGCCAGCAGCCGCGGUAAUACGGAGGAUCCGAGCGUUAUCCGGAUUUAUUGGGUUUAAAGGGAGCGUAGGUGGACUGGUAAGUCAGUUGUGAAAGUUUGCGGCUCAACCGUAAAAUUGCAGUUGAUACUGUCAGUCUUGAGUACAGUAGAGGUGGGCGGAAUUCGUGGUGUAGCGGUGAAAUGCUUAGAUAUCACGAAGAACUCCGAUUGCGAAGGCAGCUCACUGGACUGCAACUGACACUGAUGCUCGAAAGUGUGGGUAUCAAACAGGAUUA